GCGUGCUAAUCUGCGAUAAGCGCCGGUAAGGUGAUAUGAACCGUUAUAACCGGCGAUACCCGAAUGGGGAAACCCAGUGUGAUUCGUCACACUAUCAUUAACUGAAUCCAUAGGUUAAUGAGGCGAACCGGGGGAACUGAAACAUCUAAGUACCCCGAGGAAAAGAAAUCAACCGAGAUUCCCCCAGUAGCGGCGAGCGAACGGGGAGGAGCCCAGAGCCUGAAUCAGCAUGUGUGUUAGUGGAAGCGUCUGGAAAGGCGCGCGAUACAGGGUGACAGCCCCGUACACAAAAGCGCAUGUGCUGUGAGCUCGAUGAGUAGGGCGGGACACGUGGUAUCCUGUCUGAAUAUGGGGGGACCAUCCUCCAAGGCUAAAUACUCCUGACUGACCGAUAGUGAACCAGUACCGUGAGGGAAAGGCGAAAAGAACCCCGGCGAGGGGAGUGAAAAAGAACCUGAAACCGU
rnacentral:rRNA from 2 species